GAUGAACGCUGGCGGCGUGCCUAAUACAUGCAAGUCGAGCGAACAGACGAGGAGCUUGCUCCUCUGACGUUAGCGGCGGACGGGUGAGUAACACGUGGAUAACCUACCUAUAAGACUGGGAUAACUUCGGGAAACCGGAGCUAAUACUGGAUAAUAUAUUGAACCGCAUGGUUCAAUAGUGAAAGACGGUUUUGCUGUCACUUAUAGAUGGAUCCGCGCCGCAUUAGCUAGUUGGUAAGGUAACGGCUUACCAAGGCAACGAUGCGUAGCCGACCUGAGAGGGGGAUCGGCCACACUGGAACUGAGACACGGUCCAGACUCCUACGGGAGGCAGCGGUAGGGAAUCUUCCGCGAUGGGCGAAAGCCUGACGGAGCAACGCUGCGUGAGUGAUGAAGGUCUUCGGAUCGUAAAACUCUGUUAUUAGGGAAGAACAAAUGUGUAAGUAACUAUGCACGUCUUGACGGUACCUAAUCAGAAAGCCACGGCUAACUACGUG
rnacentral:rRNA from 1 species